ACAGAGGGGGCAAGCGUUGCUCGGAAUCACUGGGCGUAAAGGGCGCGUAGGCGGGAUGGCAAGUCAGUCGUGAAAUCUCUCGGCUCAACCGAGAAACGUCGGCUGAUACUGCCGUUCUUGAGGGAUGCAGAGGAGACUGGAAUUCCUGGUGUAGCGGUGAAAUGCGCAGAUAUCAGGAAGAACACCCGUGGCGAAAGCGGCUCUCUGGAACGGUACUGACGCUGAGACGCGAAAGCGUGGGGAGCGAACAGGA
rnacentral:rRNA from 1 species